UACAGAGGGUGCAAACGUUGUUCGGAAUUACUGGGCGUAAAGCGCGUGUAGGCGGCUAGGUAAGUCAGGCGUGAAAUCCCACGGCUCAACCGUGGAAGUGCACCUGAUACUGCAUAGCUAGAGUCCUGGAGAGGAAGGUGGAAUGCUUGGUGUAGAGGUGAAAUUCGUAGAUAUCAAGCGGAACACCGGUGGCGAAGGCGGCCUUCUGGACAGUGACUGACGCUGAGACGCGAAAGCGUGGGGAGCAAACAGG
rnacentral:rRNA from 1 species